ACAGACAGACAGACAGAGUUAAUUUGCUUGUGGAAAAGGCCAGCUAGUUUUUCUUCUUUUAAAGAAAACAACAUUAAGCCAUUUUUAGAGUAUGCAGUACAAUUUCCAUGUUCCUUCCAUCUGAAAAGGGUGGGAAAUCUUUCUCCUAAUUUUAGCAGUUAGAGCUGGAGUGUAUUCCAGAGGCUACAGAAAAGAGAUUUAGGGGUCACAAGCUUGUCAUCUUAGAUUUAAAAUACAUUCUAUGAAAUCAGAUUUGUUUUCAGAAGCAGCGGUUUGACUCUAUCCAUCAAUACCCAAUCUAGAAUUCCAAUCCAGUGGAAUUUCCAGCGUGGGGUGCCAUGGCCUAAAAGGAUUUGGAAACACUUGCAAUAGAGAUCCACAAAGCUAUAAAGAACGAUUGCUUUGUUUUGAGCCAGGUGUCUGGUCCAUCUUGUUCACCAGUGUCUACUUUAUAUCAAGAGGCAUCAGCUUAGACACUUGUCCUUGAUUUGCAAAUGCUGAGCCCUUUUAUAUGAAAACAAGUGCUGGGUCAUUCAGCUGCAAUGCAACUUUAAAGUUAUGGCUACGGUGAAACUGUCAAUCUUUCAGAUGUUCCAGAUUGAUAUCCUAUUUAUCCUCCACUGACUUCCAGGCAGCUCACAAGAAUAGCCAAGUUAAAACAUUACUCUGAAGUACAAAGAGAAAUUACAAAGCAGCAGCUCAGAAAACAACUGGAUAAAAAACAGCAGAAUUUGGAAAAUGUUUCGAAUCCUAGAAACCACCAGCAAUCCUCUAAGGCCCUCCAGAAAUGUAAAGUUGCACCAAUUCUUCAUAGAAGAAUGAUCUUGACU